rnacentral:rRNA from 1 species
GAUGAACGCUGGCGGCGUGCCUAAUACAUGCAAGUCGAGCGAAUGGAUUAAGAGCUUGCUCUUAUGAAGUUAGCGGCGGACGGGUGAGUAACACGUGGGUAACCUGCCCAUAAGACUGGGAUAACUCCGGGAAACCGGGGCUAAUACCGGAUAACAUUUUGAACCGCAUGGUUCGAAAUUGAAAGGCGGCUUCGGCUGUCACUUAUGGAUGGACCCGCGUCGCAUUAGCUAGUUGGUGAGGUAACGGCUCACCAAGGCAACGAUGCGUAGCCGACCUGAGAGGGUGAUCCGCCACACUGGGACUGAGACACGGCCCAGACUCCUACGGGAGGCAGCAGUAGGGAAUCUUCCGCAAUGAACGAAAGUCUGACGGAGCAACGCCGCGUGAGUGAUGAAGGCUUUCGGGUCGUAAAACUCUGUUGUUAGGGAAGAACAAGUGCUAGUUGAAUAAGCUGGCACCUUGACGGUACCUAACCAGAAAGCCACGGCUAACUACGUGCCAGCAGCCGCGGUAA